UUCACAUUCAAAGACCAAAACUAUCUAAUUAUUCUUCUUUUUGGAGUAAAGGGUAUCUGUCAAUAUUGCUUUGGAUUUGAGACCCCACAAUCCGUGUUCCUGUUCCACUAUCCUGUGCCGAGGAGAGAGAAGGUUCAAGAACAAGCCAAAAUUGUCUGCAAUUCAAAAUAAUCCAGUUGUGACUUGAGUUUUUUCUUACAACUUAAAGUGAGAGUUUCGCAGAUGAAAGGUAAGAUUUUGGCAUUUGGGUUCUUCCUUGUUUCUGUUUUGAUGAUGCCAGUGUUGAUACAUCUACUACAGUGAUCGUAGGGAUUUUUCUUUUUUUCAGUUUAUUGAUAGAAGUUCAAAGAUUAUAUUUACUUUGAAUUGGUCAUCUGGGCAUUGCUUAAAACUUAUUUGAUGACGUGGGUUUUGCGUUUGAAGUGAUUUCGUGACGAUGGGUUUUUGCUUUGGAAGUGAUUCGUUAUGUGGAUUUUAGCUGAAAAUCCAUUAUGCGAUCAGGGUUUUAGUUAGAAACGUUCUCGGUGAUCUGGGUUUUGCUAAAUAACCAGAAGAGUGAUUAGAUUUUUGCUCUAACUUAGCUGGUGAAAGUUGUUGGACUCCAAAAAGAGGUUUCUGUGCUGUAAAGAAUGAACGUUUGGUGAUAUCAGGCUUUUUGUUGGUGAAGUUUGGUGAUUUGGAUAUCUGUCAUAUUUGUAAGUUUUGUUCCAGUUGAAAUUGAUCACUGAAUUCUGUUUGAAAUUUUGUUUCCGCACUGAAUAAAUCAAGAUAAAAAAUUUUGGUAUGUGAAUUUUACGACUUGAAGUUGAAAGUUAGAAACUUGGAAUGGCGACUACAUCGCCACCCUCAAAUUCACCCACUUCUGCUGUUCCUCCAGUUUCAACCACUUCACGACCACCAUCCACCUCUAGUUCACCGCCAUCCGCCAUCAGUUCACCACCACCAUCCUCCAUCAGUCCACCACCACAACCAUCCUCUCCACCACCAGACACUAUUCCUACGACUUCUCCACCUUCACAGUCCAAUGCCAAUCCAACGGACCCUCCCACCCCUUCAACUCCAUCAGCACUUCCUCAAUCUCCUACUUCUGCUGUUGUUGCAAAUCCGCCUUCUACACCAUUAAACUCACCACCUCCAACUUCACCUUCUCCACCUUCAACCAAUGCUGAUCCUCCAACCUCCAAUUCUCCACCAUCGCCAUCACAAUCAGCAAGUCCACCCACAAGCUCAUCUCCUCCUGCACCGCCAUCUAAUCCACCAACUUCUCCACCACCUCCAUCCAAUCCGCCAACUUCUCCAUCACCACCUUCCAAUCCAUCUACAAGUUCUCCUUCUUCUCCACCACCAUCACUAACACCACCAGCAAAUUCACCUCCACCAACUUCAAAUCCAUCUCCCACACCACCGCCACCGUCAUCAAAGCCACCUGAAAAUUCACAACCGCCACCAUCAUCAAAGCCACCUGAAAAUUCACCGCCGCCUCCAUCAUCAAAACCACCUGAAAACUCACCGCCGCCUCCAUCAUCAAAGCCACCUGAAAACUCACCACCUCCACCAUCAUCAAAACCACCAGAAAACUCACCGCCGCCUCCAUCAUCAAAACCACCUGAAAACUCACCGCCACCUGCCAAUUCAUCCCCACCAACAGUAUCUGUGCCACCUCCCAAAAGUUCACCUUCACCUGCAAAUUCGCCUCCUCCUCCAGCUUCAACCCCUCCGAAAAGUUCACCUCCUACAAAUUCACCUCCUCCAUCAGCAUCAACACCACCAAAAGAUUCACCUCCUCCACCAGCGUCAACACCACCCACAGAUUCACCUUCUCCACCAACAUCAAUAGCCCCUACUCCCAGUAAUUCACCAUCAAAUUCUACUAAAGCAUCACCCCCAUCACCAGUGAUGAGAUUGAGUCCACUUCCUUCCUCAUUCAAUUCUCCACCAUCUUCUUCUCCUCCCUUAUCUGACAACAAUACCUUUCCUAGUGCACCAGAAAGUUCAAAAUUAACAGGUAGUGGAGGCAUUGGUACUGGAGGUAUAGUCGCCAUUGGUGUAGCAGUAGGUGUCAUAAUGCUCAGCCUUGUUGGGUUGGCUGUCUGGUGCUUCAGGAAGCGAAGGAAAGAGGCACUUGGGCACAAUGGUGGUUAUGUUAUGCCAUCUCCUCUGGGCUCUUCCCCUAGAUCAGAUUCAAAUUUCACGAAGACACACUCUACAGCUCCCCUAAUGGGAAGUGGUUCUAGUAAUGAUAUUUUUGUUUAUUCACCAAGUGAUCCUGGUGGAUUAGGAAAUUCAAGGUCAUGGUUUACAUAUGAAGAACUACUCAAGGCAACAAAUGGAUUUUCAUCCCAAAAUCUUUUGGGGGAGGGUGGGUUUGGUUCUGUAUACAAAGGCUGCCUACCUGAUGGAAGGGAGGUGGCAGUAAAACAGCUUAAAGUUGGUGGAGGACAGGGUGAACGAGAAUUUAAGGCAGAGGUUGAGAUUAUUAGUCGAAUACACCAUCGCCAUUUGGUUUCACUUGUGGGUUACUGCAUCUCUGAGAACCGAAGAUUGCUUGUAUAUGACUACGUGCCUAACAAUACCCUUCAUUUCCAUCUUCAUGGGGAAGGUAGGCCAGUUCUGGAUUGGGCAACACGUGUUAAGAUUGCUGUUGGUGCAGCUCGUGGGAUAGCUUAUCUCCAUGAAGACUGUCAUCCUCGGGUAAUACACAGGGAUAUUAAGUCAUCGAACAUACUUUUGGAUAACAAUUUUGAAGCCAAGGUUUCAGACUUUGGGCUUGCAAAGUUAGCUCUUGAUGCAAAUACACAUGUGACCACACGUGUUAUGGGCACCUUCGGAUACAUGGCCCCUGAAUAUGCAUCAAGCGGCAAAUUAACUGAGAAAUCUGAUGUAUUCUCAUAUGGAGUUGUUCUUUUGGAGCUAAUCACUGGACGGAAGCCUGUGGAUGCAUCCCAACCCUUGGGAGAUGAGAGUCUUGUUGAAUGGGCACGGCCUUUGCUUGGUCAUGCACUAGCCAAUGAAGAGUUUGACAGCUUGGUUGAUCCAAGGCUUGAAAAGAACUAUAAUGAAAGUGAAAUGUUUAGAAUGAUUGAGGCUGCAGCAGCAUGCGUGCGGCAUUCAGCUGCCAAAAGGCCAAGGAUGGGACAGGUUGUUAGAGCAUUUGAUAGUUUAGCUGCUGCCGAUCUAAGCAACGGAAUGAGAGUUGGGGAAAGUGAGGUAUUCAACUCAGCAGAACAGUCUGCAGAAAUUAGAUUAUUUCGGAGGAUGGCAUUUGGUAGUCAAAAUUACAGUACGGAUUUUUUUACCCAAGGCAGUGUGGAUAGUUAAGAGAACAUGGUGAAUAUUAUUAGCAGAGAUGAAUACAUCUAUUGUCAGUGGGUUUUGUCCAGUUGAGAUGGUGCCCCAUGCAAGUUCAAGCUGAUUUAGUCGGAGACAGGCUGAGCACCUUUAGAUAUACGGGAUGUAUAUAUCUGGAAUGACUGCAUCUGGCAUGGGGACUGGAUUUUAAACCCCAAUUACUAGUUAUUAGGUGUUUGUUGAGGUUCCCAAUAUCACAGCACCUUUCUUUCUCGUGGUCAUGGAUGGCAAAUCAUUAAAGAAAGUUGAUGGAACUACAUAAACAUUUCUGAACCCAUCAAACAUAUAUAUGCAGCAAUUUAACUUAUUGUAAAAGGAUGUCAGAAGAUUUUUUUUCAUUAACGUAAAUGAUUGUCUUUAGAUGUUGAUUCUUACCUAGAAUACCAGAUAGCUUCCAAGCC